UCCUACGGGGCGCAGCAGUGGGGAAUAUUGCACAAUGGGCGAAAGCCUGAUGCAGCGACGCCGCGUGAGCGAAGAAGUAUUUCGGUAUGUAAAGCUCUAUCAGCAGGGAAGAAAAUGACGGUACCUGACUAAGAAGCCCCGGCUAACUACGUGCCAGCAGCCGCGGUAAUACGUAGGGGGCAAGCGUUAUCCGGAUUUACUGGGUGUAAAGGGAGCGUAGACGGCAGUGCAAGUCUGGAGUGAAAGCCUGGGGCUCAACCCCGGA
rnacentral:rRNA from 1 species